GACAGAGGGUGCGAACGUUGUUCGGAAUUACUGGGCGUAAAGCGCGUGUAGGCGGCUCGGAAAGUCGGAUGUGAAAGCCCUGGGCUUAACCUAGGAAGUGCAUUCGAAACUCCCGAGCUUGAGCUCUGGAGAGGAAGGCGGAAUUCUCGGUGUAGAGGUGAAAUUCGUAGAUAUCGAGAGGAACACCGGUGGCGAAGGCGGCCUUCUGGACAGUGACUGACGCUGAGACGCGAAAGCGUGGGGAGCGAACAGG
rnacentral:rRNA from 1 species